AUACACAGAGAAAUUUAUGUCCAUGUGAGGGACAAGUUGGUCUGAUGACACUGUGAAUCUCUUCGUAUAGUAAGUAGGCAGUUUUGGCUGACACGGGGAAGCUGGCAGCAAGGACUGUCCCCUCUGAAGCUUCCUCAGAUCCCCUUCCCACAACACUGCUGCCUGCCCGCCUUGGUCUGCCAGUCUUAAUACCUGCAAGCUGGCCCUGCCUCCCAGCCACCCACCCCAUCCCACCUCCUUGGGAACCCUUGGUCCUGCAGCACCUCCCUAUGGGGUCCCUGAGGAGAAGCUGAUCUGCAAUAUUGGCCAAUGCUCUCUCUGUGAAACUUCAAACUUCAAAUGAGGCCCACCUUACAUGGGUCACCAUGUGCAUGGAAAGAAUGUAUUUACACUCAGAAGAAAGCAUGAAGAAAGAACCUCCAUAUCUAUACCAUCCCUUCCUACCCAACUUUGAGCAUGGUUGUGCGAGGAUGUGAUGCCAGAAGAUGCCACAGUCACAGUCAUAUUUCAACCAUAUAGGAAGACUGAGAAAUUUGCAGCGAUCCCAAACAAGAGCUCUGACAUUGGCCAGUGCUAGAAACCACCUACCUCUAGUUUUUGUUCUUGCUGUUGCUGAGAUAUUAUAAUAAACAAGUCUGUAUUGUUUAAGCAGCAUUCGACGCUAUGGGUUCUCUGUCAUUUGCAGCCAAAAGCAUUCUAAAUAAUACAGGCUGCUGUGAAUAAUCAACGAGAUGAUGCCUGCCAAGUCCUUAGCAGAUUCUCGUUGGUAGUGAGUGCCGCAUAAUAUUAGCUGAUAUAUAAUAGGGUGACUCUUAGUGUCCGGUUUGGGAGCUGCCUUUCUGCCUAGAUUAGAGCAAUUUAUGAGCUCUAGUAUAAGAAGACUAGACUUUCACACCUCAAACAACUAGAGAGACUUGUAAAAGAUAAUAUGUAACUUAAACCCAAAUUGAGUGGUGCUAAUAGUAAGUAUCAUAGAAAGAAGGGAAACGAUUGAUAAUGUGUGUUAGGGUCUUGAGCAAAGAGCUGAGAUAAAUGAAAAAUAGACAAUAGAGAGAGGAAGGCACUAAUAUUAUAGAAGUGGGAAGCAAAGAUCAUCGAAUAGCUUCCUGAGGUCUGUCUGGAUCCGAGUUGGUGUUAUAGAGGAGGAAAGGAGAAAAGGAACAGAUCUUAUAGAGGAGGAAAGGAGAAAAGGAACAGAUCUUAUAGAGGAGCCUUUGAUCUCAGGCUGAGUUGGGAUCUAAGCUAAAGGCAGUCUACUGUAAACUCUGGAGAAGGGAAGUGACUUGUAAAAAGUGGUGUUUUAUGAAGAAAAAUCUGAAAAUUCAGAAGAGAAAGAAUCUAAAGGGUGAGAAAUGUAUUAGGAGACUAUAGCAGUCACCCAGCCAGUAGGUCAACUAGAAAAAAAGCACAGUCACUAAAGAGUGUUCCUUACCAAUAGAAAAUACAUCAGAUUAAGCUUUCUCAAAUAACCUGAAAUAAUACAGGCAACAAUUGCAGAGCAGGUCACUCCUACGGAAUAUGAGAUUAAUGAAACAGAAAGUGUCUUAUUUUCUAGGAAAAUGUAUACAAGAUAAUCAUAAGGGGGAAAUGAAAGGAAAUAAAAUUAUAUGGACAGUAUGAUAUUAAUUAUAUAAAUACAAUACAUGCAGAAGAAAUAUUACUUAACAUAAUAUUUCUUCAAAACAUAAACAGGAUUUAUGUCUAAGUGGUAACUUUAUAGAUUUACCAUUGUCUUUCUUUGUACCUUAAAAAAGUCCCACAUUUUCCAUAAUAGGCAUGCAUUACUUUUAAAAUCAGAAAUAAUUUACCAAAGUUUCUGUAUUGAGGUGUUUUUUCUCUCCUGACUAUCACUACAAUGAAUCAUAUAUAAAGGAG
rnacentral:lncRNA from 10 species